UACGUAGGUGGCAAGCGUUAUCCGGAAUUAUUGGGCGUAAAGCGCGCGCAGGCGGUCCUUUAAGUCUGAUGUGAAAGCCCUCGGCUCAACCGAGGAGGGUCAUUGGAAACUGGAGGACUUGAGUGCAGAAGAGGAAAGUGGAAUUCCAAGUGUAGCGGUGAAAUGCGUAGAGAUUUGGAGGAACACCAGUGGCGAAGGCGACUUUCUGGUCUGUAACUGACGCUGAGGCGCGAAAGCGUGGGGAGCAAACAGG
rnacentral:rRNA from 1 species